ensembl:lncRNA
AGUUCUGAUUAGACCCAGAACCAUAGAUACUGCAGUUCUGAUUAGACCCAGAACCAUAGAUCUAGUUCUGAUUAGACCCAGAACCAUAGAUCUAGUUCUGAUUAGACCCAGAACCAUAGAUCUAGUUCUGAUUAGACCCAGAACCAUAGAUCUAGUUCUGAUUAGACCCAGAACCAUAGAUCUAGUUCUGAUUAGACCCAGAACCAUAGAUCUAGUCCUGAUUAGACCCAGAACCAUACACAUAGUUCUGAUUAGACCCAGAACCAUAGAUACAGUUCCUAUUAUACCCUCUCUCCCCAAACAGUGUUAGAACUAUCAAUUUGAUAUCAUGGAUGGUCAGUCCUUGCAUCCAUAGCUCUGUCUUAUGAAUUUGAGAGUGUUUACAAAUCUCCAACCCCAUCCCUCAGCUUUUAACCAAAACAGUGGUGGGGUGGACACGUUAUUGUUUCAACUGCAGAUUGCCCCUUGACGGUCUGUUUAGAUAAAACCCAACCUUUAGAUUGUGCCUCCAAAGCAGCACUCCAGUCAACGUGACUGCUUGGUGCUUACGCUGCCCAAAUGGCCCCCUAUACUUACCCCACAUAGGACUCUGUUCAGAAGUAGUGCACUAUAUAGGGAAUAGGGCUCUGGUCUAUAGUAGUACCACUAUAUAGGGAAUAGGGCUCUGGUCUAUAGUAGUACCACUAUAUAGGUAAUAGGGCUCUGGUCUAUAGUAGUACCACUAUAUAGGGAAUAGGGCUCUGGUCUAUAGUAGUACCACUAUAUAGGGAAUAGGGCUCUGGUCUAUAGUAGUACCACUAUAUAGGGAAUAGGGUUCUGGUCUAUAGUAGUACCACUAUAUAGGGAAUAGGGCUCUGGUCUAUAGUAGUACCACUAUAUAGGGAUUAGGGCUCUGGUCCAUAGUAGUACCACUAUAUAGGGAAUAGGACUCUGGUCUAUAGUAGUACCACUAUAUAGGGAAUAAGACUCUGGUCUAUAGUAGUACCACUAUAUAGGGAAUAGGGUUCUGGUCUAUAGUAGUACCACUAUAUAGGGAAUAGGGCUCUGGUCUAUAGUAGUACCACUAUAUAGGGAAUAGGGCUCUGGUCUAUAGUUGUACCACUAUAUAGGGGAUAAUAGGGUGCCAUUUUUCAUGCACACUUCGAUCCCAGUUUCAUUGAGACAGCCCCAACCACUUAAAUCCAUUGUGUUCAUAGAUAAAGCUCUGGUUUAAUUUAGUUUAGGAAAGGGAUCUUUUUAAAUCUGAUUGCCAAAUAAGGUGAUUUGUAUUUUGCGAUCUGAACAUGUACCCGCAGACAGAGAACCGUGUUGUUUUCAGACGGUCUCUUCUGUAGAUACCAUGUACCCGCAGACAGAGAACAGUGUUGUUUUCAGACGGUCUCUUCUGUAGAUACCAAGCCCUGCAGACAGAGAACAGUGUUGUUUUCAGACGGUCUCUUCUGUAGAUACCAUGUCGCGUGAGUCAUGUAGAACUUGUAUAAGCCUGUUUGGGGAACCCUGGGUUAGGGGCAGAACUUGUGUGUCGACAGUGAACAUACUUUAAUGGGUUGGGACAAGCGUUGAUCAUUUGAGUCAGCUGUGUAGUGCUCGGGGCAACAAAACCAAAUAAACCUGUGGACCGAGUUUGGAAAACCCUGGGUUGGGGGCAGAACUUGUGUGUAGAGAGUGAACAUACUUUAAUUGGCAGUACAUGAUAUAUAUUUUAAGACACACAGCUUUGUCUGUUCAUGUAGGUCUGGGUCAGAGAACGACUACUGUUGUCUAAUGUCCUCCUUCAUGUUGGUCUGGCUCAGAGAACGACUACUGUUGUCUAAUGUCCUCCUUCAUGUUGGUCUGGCUCAGAGAACGACUACUGUUGUCUAAUGUCCUCCUUCAUGUUGGUCUGGCUCAGAGAACGACUACUGUUGUCUAAUGUCCUCCUUCAUGUAGGUCUGGCUCAGAGAACGACUACUGUUGUCUAAUGUCCUGUUUCAUGUAGGUCUGGGUCAGAGAACGACUACUGUUGUCUAAUGUCCUGUUUCAUGUAGGUCUGGGUCAGAGAACGACUACUGUUGUCUAAUGUCCUGUUUCAUGUAGGUCUGGGUCAUGUUCAUAUUGGUGCAAAACAGAAGAAAAAAACCAGAGUGAAACAGUGAGGUACUUACCUGUCCAAUAAGAAACGCUCGUGUCAGUUUUUCCCCGUUGUGUUUCCUGAUGAACACAACACUGGUUUUGUUCUGUAGUAAUAUAUGUUGUAUUAAAGGACAAUAACACUGGUUUUGUUCUGUACUAAUAUAUGUUGUAUUAAAGGACAAUAACACUGGUUUUGUUCUGUACUAAUAUAUGUUGUAUUAAAGGACA